rnacentral:hammerhead_ribozyme from 1 species
GUUCGGCUGAUGAGUCCCAGAUAGGACGAAACUCGCGUCAUGGAU